rnacentral:rRNA from 1 species
AUUGAACGCUGGCGGCAGGCCUAACACAUGCAAGUCGGGCGGAUGACGGGAGCUUGCUCCUUGAUUCAGCGGCGGACGGGUGAGUAGUGCCUAGGAAUCUGCCUGGUAGUGGGGGACAACGUUUCGAAAGGAACGCUAAUACCGCAUACGUCCUACGGGAGAAAGCAGGGGACCUUCGGGCCUUGCGCUAUCAGAUGAGCCUAGGUCGGAUUAGCUAGUUGGUGAGGUAAUGGCUCACCAAGGCGACGAUCCGUAACUGGUCUGAGAGGAUGAUCAGUCACACUGGAACUGAGACACGGUCCAGACUCCUACGGGAGGCAGCAGUGGGGAAUAUUGGACAAUGGGCGAAAGCCUGAUCCAGCCAUGCCGCGUGUGUGAAGAAGGUCUUCGGAUUGUAAAGCACUUUAAGUUGGGAGGAAGGGUUGUAGAUUAAUACUCUGCAAUUUUGACGUUACCGACAGAAUAAGCACCGGCUAACUCUGUGCCAGCCGCCGCGGUAACAC